UGGGGAAUCUUGGACAAUGGGGGCAACCCUGAUCCAGCCAUGCCGCGUGAGUGAUGAAGGCCUUAGGGUCGUAAAGCUCUUUCGCCUGUGAAGAUAAUGACGGUAGCAGGUAAAGAAACCCCGGCUAACUCCGUGCCAGCAGCCGCGGUAAUACGGAGGGGGUUAGCGUUGUUCGGAAUUACUGGGCGUAAAGCGCACGUAGGCGGACCAGAAAGUUGGGGGUGAAAUCCCGGGGGCUCAACCCCGGAACUGCCUCCAAAACUAUUGGUCUAGAGUUCGAGAGAGGUGAGUGGAAUUCCAAGUGUAGAGGUGAAAUUCGUAGAUAUUUGGAGGAACACCAGUGGCGAAGGCGCCUAACUGGUCCGGUACUGACGCUGAGGAACGAAAGCGUGGGGAGCAAACAGGAUUAGAUACCCUGGUAGUCCACACCGUAAAACGAUGAAUGCCAGUCGUCGGGUAGCAUGCUAUUCGGUGACACACCUAACGGAUUAAGCAUUCCGCCUGGGGAGUACGGUCGCAAGAUUAAAACUCAAAUGAAUUG
rnacentral:rRNA from 1 species